UAAAGUUAUUAAAUCUCAUCUUCUUCCUCACGUUAAAGAACCCUAGCUACAGUCCACCUCCUUCGCCAGUCAUUUUUCGUCCAACCAUUUUCACCCUAUUGCUCCAACCUUUAUCAGUCGUCUUCCGUCGGUUUUCUUCGUUAUGAAGCCACAAGCUGUCAUCCAAUGAUAGUUCACGGCCAAAACAUCGAGCUUCCCUUCCGCAUCUCUUCUCCAUUGACAACCGCCACUUCACCAUCUUCGUUUGUCCCGUACUGUUCAACUUAGACGAAACCGAAUCGCUCUGCACCAGUCCCAUUAACACACUGUUUGUUUUCUCCCUCUGUGUGAGCCAAGUCCGUGCCUCGCUCUUUGAGCCACAAGCCGCGCAUCCUUCUUCCUUGCCAAGCCAUGUGCGAGCUCACGCCUCCUCCUCUAGACGAGCCGCUCGGUAGUUUUUUCCCAUCCUUUGAACUGUUUGAGCCAUUUUUUAAAGUUUUAGGUGAGUUUUUUUAUGAGUUUUAGUACACCCAUCAAAUGUUAAUUUUUUUGCUCUAAAUAAAUUUAUUUUAGAUCUAAUUUGGAGUUUUUCAUUUGAAUGUUCAAUUGGCUAAUUUGAAAAAAUUAACUUUGAAUUUUUCCUAAUCAAAGGUUAAAUUGGUUUCAACCUCAACUCUGGAAAGUUGAUUUGGGAGGAUUUUGAGACAAUAGUCAACUGUUAAUUUUAUUAAUUAAGUUAUUUAAUUUGCCUUUACUAUUUAAGAGUUGUUCAAUUUGAAAAUUGUGAUUGUCAGCUAGGGAAUAUCUAUUAGCCAAUCUCUCAGGUAAGAGAUUCUACUACUAAACUUUCGAACCUAAAUUUAAGAGACUACAUGCGUUUAUAGAUUAUUCAUUAAUGGUAGCUAAAAUGCAUGGUUGAUUUGGGCAGAUGUUGACUCAUGUUAUGUCUUUAUUAUGCAUGAUUUAUGGAUUCCAUUUUUUAUGGACCGUUAUGCAUUAUGAUUCAUGUUAUGUUUAUGUCAAUUGUUGCAUGUUUUUAGACUAUUGUGUGUGUUUGUUAACUUUAGCUGUUAGGCUUUAUACCUCACCUAUAUUGUGUUCCUACCUAUAGGGUUACUCACACGACUAAAGGUGUAAUGGAAUAAGAAACAUGCACAUCGGAAUAAGAAUCGAAAUUCGACCCUAAUUGAAUCUAAACACUUUAGAAGUUCACAUGCAUAAAAAACGCCUAAAUAAAAUAAUUAGGGUUAAAGGAACUUACCUUUGAAGAAUUUGCGAAUCCUCGAUCAGCACCUCACAAACUCGAAUCAGGACUACCGCUAUAGUAACUCGCUAUUCUCUAGUCUUAGAACCAGGUUAUGGGACCCGAUUAGGUAAAGGAAUUUCAGAAAUAGAUGGAAAUUUAAGGGAGAGUUUAAGGGUUGAGACAUAGAGAAAGAUAUUUUUUAGGUUUAGUUUUUGUAAUUCAAAAUUACAUAAAUGGCCAAAAUUUUUGUUCAAAAGGAAAAAUGUCCUUUAAAUAGACUAAUGACAUGCAAAACUGAAUGUAAUUAGUUUAUUAAAUCUCAACACCUAAUAAUCCACUAAUCAUUAGUGGAACUUAGUGAGCUAGGUGUUUACAUCUCAUGUAGCCACCUAUCCCACUAAGUGUUAGUGGGAUUAUCCAACAAAAUAUUGGAUUUUCUCACUAACUUUAGUUCGAGGGCAAUAUGGUAUUUGACCAUUCAAGUCAAAGUCAAACUUUAACUUUUUCUAAUAAAAAGCCAACAUUUUGGCUGUUUACCAUUUUGUCUGUGUUGACUAAUUUUGACCACUCGAGCAUGAACCUGCAUUUAAUUUUUUUCAAAAUUCAAAUCAUAUUUGAAUAUAAAGUCUGUCAAAGUUUGACUUUUCAAAGUCAAAAAGUUAACAUUUUGACUUUUUACAACUUGGACUAUUUCCAUGUAUUUCGAGCUUUCGCAUAUGAAUCUAUAUUCAUAUUUUUAUUAUUUAAAUCAUAUUUAAACAUAAAGCUUUAUCUAAAACUGAUAACCGAUGAUUUUAUCACAUAUAUUCGUCGGUUUCUCUUUCUUUACUUAAUUUGAACAAUUCAAAUUAUUCCAACAUAUUGUUCUAAGUUAAUUCCAUAUGAGCUAGUAGCGGAACCUAAUGGACCUAUAGAUCAUGGGCUCCAACGAUCCAAGAUUAACUAGCUUAACUCUUAUAGACCGAGCUAAUCAACAUUCGUUAACUAACAGGUCAUUUCACUAAAGUACCAUAAUUGCACUCCCCUCACUAUAGAUAUAUUUCUAUCCAUCUGAUAUAACCAUGAUCAAUAAGUUAAUUCUUCACAUGUUGUUUGUAAUCUUGGCUAGGUCAAAAUAUCGUUUUACCCCUAAGGCAACAUCUUGUUCCUUAAGUUCCACUGAUUCACUAUUGAACAAUUGGUUUAAGAUUCAAUCUAUAAAUCGAAUCUCUCUUAGGCCAAUAAGAGGAUAGGGUCUCCUGUUCAAGACUUGGAUUCAGUCCUUAAGGGAACAACCUUUCUACUAACCCUAAAGUUGGUAGAAGUGAACUUCGUCUUGCAUCCUAUGUCCCUAGUUAUCCACCUGGUCUUACCCUUGAAAUGGAAGGCUUGUUGGGCCAGUGUCAUUGAGUUGCCCUCACCUAUGCAGAUCUAAGGAUAAUUUCAUGUGAACAGAAGUUCAUAGUUAGCUCAAGAUUAAAAUUAAGUUACUUAGGCCAUCAUAAUCGAAAUAGUCAGUUUUAUAUAGACAACGGUGUUAUAACUUAAAAGUGACUAUUUCAUGGUUCCAGUCUUAUUCAAACUCUUUACAUAUGAUGUCCCCAAUACUAUGUCUCUACAUGAACGAUUUAGAAUCACAUCGUUUGUACUAACUACAAAGUGGACCACAUCCAUAGUGUCUCCAGAACAAGGCACCCAACCUUAUUCGUGCACUAUGGAUCGUUUGGGCUAUAAACUCGAACUUUAUCCAUGUUUAUAUCUCUACAUAAAGUUCAAGUCUACACUAGAUAGCCUCAGGACCUUAGUUUAUUGGACUCAAGAUUGUAGUCUUCUAUUUUCACUAAUAAGCCUCAAUAAUCACUUUAUUGAUCGAAUAGAAUAUAAUUUUAAACUACAAACUAUGAGUUUUAGGACACCAAAUUCCAACAAGGUGUUCCUACAAGACCACUCGCACGAUUAAGGGUGCACCUACAAAUCACAUGCACGAUUAGGGGUUAGUUACACUAUGUUCAGACAAGGUCACUUGCACGACUAGGGGUGUACCUAUGGAUCGUAGGCAUGAUCAGGAGUGUGUACCUACAAUCACUCGCACAACUAACGGUGUUUCUACGGAAUCACUUACAUGAUUAGGGAUGUUUGUAUGGUCUCACUUGCCAAGUGUGCUGCAUUUGACAUGUAACAUUAUUAUUACGUUUCUAACGGGAAGUUAACAGAUUACCUAGUGAGACUAGUAGUGAGGUCCUUUACUAGGUAUACUUUUAUAUACUUAAUUUUUUUCUAUGUUUAAUAUUUCAGGCAAAAGUAAAUGAUUUGGAAAGCUGGCGUGUGAUAGGAAGGACUAAUAACAUGCCAUAUGGGAACCUUAUUUUGCUUGCACCUUUUCUUCACUAGUUUGAGUAUUUUGAUUUUUAGACAUUUUAUUUAAAAAUUUAUUUUAUCUAUUUAUCUUUAUUUUAUUUAAAAAUUGUUAGAACAGGAAACUCAUGCUUUCACAGUAUUUUUAAUUGAUUUUGUCAAUUUUAUGUUUUUCAAACAUAUAUUUGAUAUUACUUUAAUAAGAAUUUUAGUUUUUCCUUUAUUUAAGAAAGUGUCUUUUCUUUUUUGUCUUUAAGUAAUUACCUCAACUUAAUUGAAGAGUUUGGGUUGUUACAGUUGAUAUCAGAGUCUAAGUUUUACGUUCUAUAGACUGACAUACAAUGUGAAUCUUUGAUUUUUGUCUCUAUGGCUAUUAUGUCCUUCAUCACUCAUCAGGUAUGUUUUAUGAUAUAAGUUUAUGUUUAUGCACAUGACUUUGCCUGUAUUAAGUUAGAAUAGCUUGAAUGUUAUGACUUAAUUGUGAAGGAUUUUGGAGGUGGAAUACUGAAAAAAAAUGUCACUACACAAAGGUAUACAAAGAGGUGGUUGGAGAGGCAGACGAGCAAGGCGUAGUCAACCUGCUGUACAAUCUACCAACUCUACUGCACCUGUCACACAUGCUGACCUUAUUUCUAUGGAGCAAAGGUUUAAAAUUAUUUUAACAGAGGCGUUAGCACAGUUCUAACCAUCCUACCUGUUGAGACACCAAUUGCAUCUUCGAACUUGUCAAACCAGUUUCAGCUAAGGGAAAGCAUUUGUAGGAUUUCAAGAAGUAUGAACCACAAACUUUUGAUGGAUCUUUGGAGGACCCCACCAAGGUGGAGAUGUGGUUAACUUAUGUGGAUACCAUAUUUAGCUACAUGAGAUGCCUUUAAGACCAGAAGGUGUAGUGUGUUGUGUUCUUGCUUAGGAAGACAGGUAGAAUCUAGUGGCAGACCAUAGAGAGGAUACUUGGUGGAGAUGUGAGUCAAAUCACGUGGGAGAGGUUCAAGGAGAGUUUUUAUGUCAAGUUUCUCUCUGCCAACCUGGAAAUGCCAAGUGUCAAAAAUUCUUAAAACUGAAGCAAGGCUAGAUGACAGUAUAAUAGUAUGACCAGAAGUUUGACAUGUUGCCCCUGAGUUAGUCGAGACUGAGGCUGCUAGAGCUAAGAGAUUUGUCAAAGGCUAGAGGAAGGAUCUUCAAGAUUUUGUUUAAGCCGUCAAGCCAGCUACCCAAGCUGAAGCACUACUCCUAAAGGUGGAUAUGAGUGCCCAUGAGGAUGAUGGCCUGCCAAGGGCUUCAGGGAAGAGAGCAUCAGUCUCCUGAAAUUCUGCAGAGGGAUCUGAGUUCAAAUGGCACCUUCUAUCGUUAACACUAAGAGAUCGUUGAGGUACGAGGGACCACAAGGGAGUUGCCUACUUGUUGUGUUUGUAGGAAACAUCAUUCAGGUCACUGUCUGGCCUGUAAAAAAGUUUGCUUCAGAUGCAAACAAGAGGAGCACUUUGCUGACAAAUGCCUUCAAAGACCAUUCGAGGUUGUUUCAAACUAGGGUUCUACCUCGCAACAAGGGGAGAGUUUUUGCUAGUAAUUGACGGGAGGUCGAAAAGCUGGCACAAUGUGAUAGGUUCAAUUGGCUAAUUUGGAGAAAUUAAACUGUAGAAUUUUUUUCCAAUCAAGUUUGAAUUGGCUUCAAUCUCAACUUUGGGUUUGGUUUAUUGUAGAGUUUUGAUUGUCAGCUAGGGGCUUUCUUUUAGCUAAUCUCGAGGCAUGGAUUGGUUAUUUGCAAACCAUGCAAGUAUAGAUUAUUCUUGCAAGGAGGUAGUUUUAAUCCUCCUACAGAAGCUAGAUUCAAGUACAAGGGGACGAGGAUUGUGGCCUUAUCCAAAGUCAUCUCAGCCAUGAAGGCCAGGAAGUUGCUCGAUCAGGGUACCUAGAGUAUCUUGGCAAGUGUUUUUAGGCGCUACAUAGGCUGAAGUUUCUUUAACAUCUGAACCAAUGGUGAGAAACUAUCUCGAUGUUUUCCCAUAAGAGUUUCCAGAUUUACCACCUCACAGAGAGUUUGAUUUUGCCAUUAAGUUAAGUAGGCACAAUGGUAUUUGACGCGAAUAGUGAGACUGCAUGAAGUGUCUAUCUUGAUUGUUUCUGACAAGAGAGUCAAGUAUCCUAAGCUGUUUGAUAUUACAACUUUUGAGGACUAAAGUUUUUUGAAGGAAUGAAGAUUGUAAUGGCCCAAAAAAUUAAGAUAA